rnacentral:lncRNA from 1 species
UGGCCGUGUCUUGCCAUAAGAGUGCCAUGCUGUACGACUUUAAGGCUUUCUAGCCUUUUUUUUUUUUUUUUAAAAACAAUGUUUUCUUUUACAGUGAAAGAAAAGCACAAGAAGUAAAGAAACUUUCACAGUGGUUGUUGAUUUGACUGUUACGCGGAUCCCCCCCGAAUCGGAAAAAAGCUGCCGAAAUGUAGAAGCUGAUUCUGUCACAAUGUCAGAUGCCUUUGGAAAAUUCUACAUUCCUCUUAGAUGAAUCUUUAGAACUUGGUGAGUUUCACUAGAUACCUUCAGUCUUCAUUUUGAGCUCAGAGGUAUGCCACCUUUUUUUCUUCCUUUUUUGCAUAAUUAACAAGUACGGUGAGGUUUGGAAUCUCCUGGCAAGGAGCAUGGGACCAAGUAUUAUAAAAAGAUUUAGGGCAUGAUCUCCUACCUUCCUUGAUAGCUUUUGUUUAUCUUUAGAAUUUUCAUUCUUAUGAGGAGUGAAAAGAUAUUCAUUGGUAAGACAAUUGAUAUCCAGAUGUAAAGUAUU